UUCCAUAAAGGCAACAUCCGCUUCUCCUCCAGUCCACACACGGUGGCGUUGCUUUCAGCUGCUGUGGACUCAGUGGAGGAACUCUUCCCGGGGUCUCUGGGCUGUCUCACCGGGUCGCUGCGUGCCGGCCAGAAGGUUAUAGGACCUGCUUAUGAGACUGUGGUCGGCCGCUAUUACGAAGAUAACUUUUCAACCUGGAAACCAAAAAAUCCCCACAUACAAUUGAAUCAGAUUGAUAAAGCCCAUCAAACCGAUUUCCAGUUCUGCAUUUUAUAG
rnacentral:lncRNA from 1 species